rnacentral:snRNA from 1 species
CUACCUACUGUCAGAAGUGUAAAGGCCUAGACAGGAUACACUGACAAAAAAUUGUUUCUCUUAUGUUUGUUUCUCCAAAUGUGGGAAACUCGACUGCAUAAUUUGUGGUAGUGGGGGACUGCGUUCGCGCUCUUCCCUG